GCCGAGGUAGCUCAGCUGGUAGAGCGGUCGCUUUGUAAGCGAUUGGUCGGGGGUUCGAAUCCUCUCCUCGGCU
rnacentral:tRNA from 1 species